GGGGAUUUAGCUCAGUGGUAGAGCGCUUGCCUAGCAAACGCAAAGCCCUGGGUUCAGUCCCCA
rfam:Rattus norvegicus chromosome 10, whole genome shotgun sequence.